UUGACCUAGCGGGAUGCUUAAAUGCAAGUCGAACGGCAGCACGGACUUCGGUCUGGUGGCGAGUGGCGAACGGGUGAGUAAUGUAUCGGAACGUGCCCAGUAGCGGGGGAUAACUACGCGAAAGCGUNAGCUAAUACCGCAUACGCCCUACGGGGGAAAGCAGGGGAUCUUCGGACCUUGCACUAUUGGAGCGGCCGAUAUCGGAUUAGCUAGUUGGUGGGGUAACGGCCUACCAAGGCGACGAUCCGUAGCUGGUUUGAGAGGACGACCAGCCACACUGGGACUGAGACACGGCCCAGACUCCUACGGGAGGCAGCAGUGGGGAAUUUUGGACAAUGGGGGAAACCCUGAUCCAGCCAUCCCGCGUGUGCGAUGAAGGCCUUCGGGUUGUAAAGCACUUUUGGCAGGAAAGAAACGUCGCGGGCUAAUACCNCGCGAAACUGACGGUACCUGCAGAAUAAGCACCGGCUAACUACGUGCCACACCGGGG
rnacentral:rRNA from 1 species